CUUACCUACCCUUGACAUGGCAGGAAUCCUGGAGAGAUCUGGGAGUGCUCGAAAGAGAACCUGCACACAGGUGCUGCAUGGCUGUCGUCAGCUCGUGUCGUGAGAUGUUGGGUUAAGUCCCGCAACGAGCGCAACCCUUGUCAUUAGUUGCUACGCAAGAGCACUCUAAUGAGACUGCCGGUGACAAACCGGAGGAAGGUGGGGAUGACGUCAAGUCCUCAUGGCCCUUAUGGGUAGGGCUUCACACGUCAUACAAUGGUACAUACAGAGGGCCGCCAACCCGCGAGGGGGAGCUAAUCCCAGAAAGUGUAUCGUAGUCCGGAUCGUAGUCUGCAACUCGACUACGUGAAGUUGGAAUCGGCAUAGUAAUCGCGGAUCAGCAUGUCGCGGUGAAUACGUAC
rnacentral:rRNA from 1 species